CUGAUGCAGCCAUGCCGCGUGUGUGAAGAAGGCCUUCGGGUUGUAAAGCACUUUCAGUUGUGAGGAAAAGUUAGUAGUUAAUACCUGCUAGCCGUGACGUUAACAACAGAAGAAGCACCGGCUAACUCCGUGCCAGCAGCCGCGGUAAUACGGAGGGUGCGAGCGUUAAUCGGAAUUACUGGGCGUAAAGCGCACGCAGGCGGUUUGUUAAGCUAGAUGUGAAAGCCCCGGGCUCAACCUGGGAUGGUCAUUUAGAACUGGCAGACUAGAGUCUUGGAGAGGGGAGUGGAAUUCCAGGUGUAGCGGUGAAAUGCGUAGAUAUCUGGAGGAACAUCAGUGGCGAAGGCGACUCCCUGGCCAAAGACUGACGCUCAUGUGCGAAAGUGUGGGUAGCGAACAGGAUUAGAUACCCUGGUAGUCCACACCGUAAACGCUGUCUACUAGCUGUGUGUGCCUUUAAGGCGUGCGUAGCGAAGCUAACGCGAUAAGUAGACCGCCUGGGGAGUACGGCCGCAAGGUUAAAACUCAAAUGAAUUGACGGGGGCCCGCACAAGCGGUGGAGCAUGUGGUUUAAUUCGAUGCAACGCGAAGAACCUUACCUACACUUGACAUGCAGAGAACUUUCUAGAGAUAGAUUGGUGCCUUCGGGAACUCUGACACAGGUGCUGCAUGGCUGUCGUCAGCUCGUGUCGUGAGAUGUUGGGUUAAGUCCCGCAACGAGCGCAACCCUUGUCCUUAGUUGCCAGCAUUAAGUUGGGCACUCUAAGGAGACUGCCGGUGACAAACCGGAGGAAGGUGGGGACGACGUCAAGUCAUCAUG
rnacentral:rRNA from 1 species